rnacentral:rRNA from 1 species
GGAUAAUCUACCCUUAGGACUGGGAUAACCCUGGGAAACUGGGGAUAAUACUGGAUAGGCAAUUAUUCCUGUAAUGGUUUUUUGUUUAAAUGUUUUUUCGCCUAAGGAUGAGUCUGCGGCCGAUUAGGUAGUUGGUUAGGUAAUGGCUUACCAAGCCGUUGAUCGGUACGGGUUGUGAGAGCAAGAGCCCGGAGAUGGAACCUGAGACAAGGUUCCAGGCCCUACGGGGUGCAGCAGGCGCGAAACCUCCGCAAUGUGAGAA